rnacentral:lncRNA from 1 species
GGUAAAUGUUCCCUAGCCACAAGUCCAUAAAUAUGACAUCGUGUAUUCUUCUGGACACCUAAACAAGACGAGAAGGAGAAGUUUUUGUAUUAUCUUAUGGAGGGAAAAAUCAUUCUCCUUUGCCUUAUGGUGAUUGUGCAACUAGGCAUAGGCAACUCCAUUCAUGUUGGUACGAAAUCGGUCUCCUUUCUCCUACAUGUCUAUAUUUUCAGAUGACCUGCACGAAUUUCUUUGCAAUGUUUCUCAAUUUGGACUUCCCUCAAUGAUGCAUGUUCUUUUCUACAGAUGAUUGCGAGGGGGUGAUUGCUUUUACAGCCGCUGAAUGCUCAGCAUUAGAUUGCCGCAGAUCCUGCCGGGAUUCCUGGGCAGAACACGUCUAUAGAUCUUAUUGUAGGGUUGGCCAAACUCAGCAAUAUUGUUACUGCUUUGUUUGUGAUGAAAAGUGAUUGUUGCUGGUACCCAUCAUGCCAAUCAAUGGACAGUGAUGUGAUUCAAUAAUAAAAUAUUCUUGUCACAUGCAUGUGGCAAUGUGUCUUGAGCACCAAUUUUGAUUGUUAUACUUGAUUGGGCUUGAUUUUUUGUGUGCAUAA